GGAAAAAAAAUAUUCCUACUUAAAUUUUAAGUCUAUAAUUCAAUUUAAAUAUGUGUGUGUCUCAUCCAGGAUAGGAUAGGUUGUCUUCUAUUUUCCAUUUUACCUAUUUACUUUUUUUGUAAGAAAAGAGAAAAAUGAAUUCUAAAGAUGUUCCCCAUGGGUUUUGAUUGUGUCUAAGCUAUGAUGACCUUCAUAUAAUCAGCAUAAACAUAAAACAAAUUUUUUACUUAACAUGAGUGCACUUUACUAAUCCUCAUGGCACAGUGGCUCACGCCUGUAAUCCCAGCACUUGGGAGGACAAUGUGGGUGGAUCACGAGGUC
rnacentral:lncRNA from 1 species